rnacentral:rRNA from 1 species
CGGAGGGGCCAGCGUUAUUCGGAAUUACUGGGCGUAAAGCGCACGUAGGCGGAUCAGAAAGUCAGAGGUGAAAUCCCAGGGCUCAACCUUGGAACUGCCUUUGAAACUCCUGAUCUUGAGGUCGAGAGAGGUGAGUGGAAUUCCGAGUGUAGAGGUGAAAUUCGUAGAUAUUCGGAGGAACACCAGUGGCGAAGGCGGCUCACUGGCUCGAUACUGACGCUGAGGUGCGAAAGCGUGGGAGCAAACAGGAUU